GGAUGAAGCAUUAACACCGAGCCAGGUUUCUUGUCGUCCUUAUGGGUCGAGGGCGACAAAUUAUAGCGGAUACUCCUAACACUGGCAGUUUUGCUAAGUAUAAGCUGCUGACAUAUCAACCAAGUAGUAAAGUCCAAAAAUGGUUAAAUUCCUUCUGUUGAACACAUUCGUUGUGUCGCCUGAACUAUGGCAACAGAUACAAGAACGUGAGGCUGCAAGCAUGCGACACGACCCCGCCGCAGGUGACUACCGUGGGACCAGACGGGGCGUGCGCGGUGUGGAGUUCGGGGAGACCAGAUUUAUAAGAAGAAAAGAGUCUGUGACCCCCACACCUAUAGUCAAACAACCUCAUUGUUUGAUAUAA
rnacentral:lncRNA from 1 species